AGACCCGAAACCCGGUGAUCUAGCCAUGGGCAGGUUGAAGGUUGGGUAACACUAACUGGAGGACCGAACCGACUAAUGUUGAAAAAUUAGCGGAUGACCUGUGGCUGGGGGUGAAAGGCCAAUCAAACCGGGAGAUAGCUGGUUCUCCCCGAAAGCUAUUUAGGUAGCGCCUCGUGAAUUCAUCUCCGGGGGUAGAGCACUGUUUCGGCUAGGGGGCCAUCCCGGCUUACCAACCCGAUGCAAACUGCGAAUACCGGAGAAUGUUAUCACGGGAGACACACGGCGGGUGCUAACGUCCGUCGUGAAGAGGGAAACAACCCAGACCGCCAGCUAAGGUCCCAAAGUCAUGGUUAAGUGGGAAACGAUGUGGGAAGGCCCAGACAGCCAGGAUGUUGGCUUAGAAGCAGCCAUCAUUUAAAGAAAGCGUAAUAGCUCACUGGUCGAGUCGGCCUGCGCGGAAGAUGUAACGGGGCUAAACCAUGCACCGAAGCUGCGGCAGCGAACGUAUCACUUAAAGCGAUUCAGCGGGUUACGAUUGACGGAGCGAAGCGACGUCAAAGCGUAUACAAAGUCGAGUCGGUUUAAGGAUACGUUCGUUGGGUAGGGGAGCGUUCUGUAAGCCUGUGAAGGUGGCCUGUGAGGGUUGCUGGAGGUAUCAGAAGUG
rnacentral:rRNA from 1 species